UACAGAGGGCCCGAGCGUUGCGCGGAAUCACUGGGCUUAAAGCGUGCGUAGGCGGAUCGUUAAGCGUUUUGUGAAAUCCCCCGGCUCAACCGGGGAAUUGCAGGGCGAACUGGCGAUCUUGAGGUCGGUAGGGGUCGUUGGAACGCUAGGUGGAGCGGUGAAAUGCGUAGAUAUCUAGCGGAACGCCGAAGGUGAAGACAGGCGACUGGGCCGAUUCUGACGCUGAGGCACGAAAGCGUGGGGAGCGAACGGG
rnacentral:rRNA from 1 species